GAACGAUGAACCUUAAAUGAUUUCUUCGGAAUGAUUUUAAGUGGAUUAGUGGCGAACGGGUGAGUAACACGUGAGUAACCUGCCUUACACAAGGGGAUAGCCUUUGGAAACGAAGAAUAAUACCCUAUAACGUCAAUUUAUCGCAUGAUAGAAUGACCAAAGAUUUAUCGGUGUAAGAUGGACUUGCGCCUGAUUAGCUAGUUGGUGAGAUAAAAGCCCACCAAGGCAACGAUCAGUAGCCGGCUUGAGAGAGUGUACGGCCACAUUGGGACUGAGACACGGCCCAAACUCCUACGGGAGGCAGCAGUGGGGAAUUUUGCACAAUGGGGGAAACCCUGAUGCAGCGACGCCGCGUGAUUUAGAAGGCCUUCGGGUUGUAAAAAUCUUUUUUAUGGGAUGAAAAUGACAGUACCAUAAGAAUAAGGUCCGGCUAAAUACGUGCCAGCAGCCGCGGUAAUACGUAUGGACCGAGCGUUGUCCGGAAUCAUUGGGCGUAAAGGGUACGUAGGCGGCCUAGUAAGUUAGAAGUGAAAUAAUAUAGCUCAACUAUAUAAAGCUUUUAAAACUGUUAGGCUUGAGAGAUGAAAGGGAAAGUGGAAUUCCUAGUGUAGCGGUGAAAUGCGCAGAUAUUAGGAAGAAUACCAGUGGCGAAGGCGACUUUCUGGUCAUCCUCUGACGCUGAGGUACGAAAGCGUGGGUAGCAAACAGGAUUAGAUACCCUGGUAGUCCACGCUGUAUACGAUGAGUGUUAGGUUCUUGGAAUAAUCUGGGAGCCGCAGCUAACGCAUUAAACACUCCGCCUGGAGAGUACGCACGCAAGUGUG
rnacentral:rRNA from 1 species